GGUAGAAAGAAUAAAAAUCAUUUGUUGGAACUUAUAAAUCCUCAUCAGGAAAAGAUUCAGAAAUUAGAAUUGAUUCUUCAGAUGAAUGUAUAAACAUUCUGUUAUCACCUCCACAAAGUCUUGUGAAUCAGUGCCUUCUUCAAGAAGAUUUCCAGAAAGCUAGUAAUGUAAUUGAAAGAUACCAUAUACAAGACAGCUUUGAAGCCAAACGAGCUAAUUUUUUACAAAAUUAUUUGAAAAUAAAACACAGAUUACGAAAUUUAUCUAGUAG